UUAGGAAUUUUGCGCAAUGGGCGAAAGCCUGACGCAGCAACGCCGCGUGAGGGAGGAAGGCCUUCGGGUUGUAAACCUCUUUCGAUGGGAACGAACACAAUGACGGUACCCAUAGAAGAAGCACCGGCUAACUACGUGCCAGCAGCCGCGGUAAUACGUAGGGUGCAAGCGUUAUUCGGAUUUACUGGGCGUAAAGCGCAUGUAGGUGGUUUCGUAAGUCUGAUGUGAAAUCCCUGGACUCAAUCCAGGA
rnacentral:rRNA from 1 species